CGACCGUCGAUGGAUAGACAGAAACAUACAGAUAGAUAGAUAGAUAGACAGAAACAUACAUAGUAAGUUGAAGGAUUUUAAUUGUUUGGAAAAAGUCAAUUUGGUCAAUUUAGUAUGAAAAAUGAUCAACUUCAAAACGAUGUAUCUCCGGCAAUUUUAAACCUACAUAGUCGAGUGAUAGCUCGUUUUGCUCGUAUUUGAAGCGAGAAUA